UGAGUAACCUGCCCUUAACUCUGGGAUAAGCCUGGGAAACUGGGUCUAAUACCGGAUAUGACUCCUCAUCGCAUGGGUGGGGGGUGGAAAGUCUUUUUUGUGGUUUUGGAUGGACUCGCGGCCUAUCAGCUUGUUGGUGAGGUAAUGGCUCACCAAGGCGAUGGACGGGUAGCCGGCUGAGGAGGGUCGACCCGGCCACACGUGGGACUGAGACACGGCCCAGACCUCCGUACGGGGAGCAG
rnacentral:rRNA from 1 species